GUAUAUUGUAGCGAAAUUGGAUGACUGAACAAAUUGUUAUUUUGAGUCGGAUCUUUUCAGUGAAUCAGAUGAUUCUGUUCACAAAGCGAGUCUGAAAGAAUCGUUCAUUAUUUAACUAUUAAUGAUAAUGACAAUUUUCUUUAUCAGACCUAUCUGACAACAUAAUUAAAAAGAUUAAUAAUUUGAUUCAGCUGGAGUGAACCAAAGAGUUCACUGAUGGAGUGAAAAUAAAUAGAUUCGUUCAUGACUGACAUUUUAUCAACAUGCAUACGAAGUUUAAAUAAAUUAGUUUUAUGAGAUGAACCAUAACUGCAACAAACUGAACUGGGACGCAUGAAUACACGUAUAAUAAACACUAUUAAAUCAUAAAA